rnacentral:rRNA from 1 species
UGGGGAAUAUUGGACAAUGGGGGCAACCCUGAUCCAGCCAUGCCGCGUGUGUGAAGAAGGCCCUUGGGUUGUAAAGCACUUUCAGUGGGGAGAAAAGUCUGUUACUUAAUACGUGAUGGAAUUGAUGUUACCCACAGAAGAAGCACCGGCUAACUCCGUGCCAGCAGCCGCGGUAAUACGGAGGGUGCAAGCGUUAAUCGGAAUUACUGGGCGUAAAGCGCACGUAGGUGGUUUGUUAAGUCAGCUGUGAAAUCCCCGGGCUCAACCUGGGCACUGCAGUUGAAACUGGCAAGCUAGAGUAGGGUAGAGGGGUGUGGAAUUCCAGGUGUAGCGGUGAAAUGCGUAGAUAUCUGGAGGAACAUCAGUGGCGAAGGCGACACCCUGGACUCAUACUGACACUGAGGUGCGAAAGCGUGGGGAGCAAACAGG